UACGUAGGAGGCAAGCGUUGUCCGGAAUUACUGGGCGUAAAGCGCGUGUAGGUGGUGGGACAAGUCUGCUGUGAAAGCGCCUGGCUUAACCGGGCGAGGUCGGCGGAAACUGUCCGACUCGAGGACGGUAGAGGGGGUGGAAUUCCCGGUGUAGUGGUGAAAUGCGUAGAGAUCGGGAGGAACACCUGUGGCGAAGGCGGCUAACUGGUCCGGAUCUGACGCUGAGGUGCGAAAGCGUGGGGAGCAAACAGG
rnacentral:rRNA from 1 species